rnacentral:miRNA from 1 species
AGAUGUUUUGGGACUACAAUUCCUAUCAUUCCUGACCUAUGGUUCUGUUAGCUAGGGAUGCUGGGAGUUGUAGUCCCAAAACAUCU